UCCCCGUUACCGGGGCAGUCUGGCUAGAGAAAUACAACUAACCAUAAGGGUUGCGCUCGUUAUUGGACUUAACCAAACAUCUCACGACACGAGCUGAAGACGGCCAUGCAACACCUGUCACUGGGUUCCCGAAGGCACUCACUGCUUUCACAGUAAUUCCCAGGAUGUCAAGCCUUGGUAAGGUUCUUCGCUUAGCAUCGAAUUAAACAACAUACUCCACCGCUUGUGCAGCUCCCCGUCAAUUCCUUUGAGUUUUAGUCUUGCGACCGUACUCCCCAGGCGGGAUGCUUAACGCGUUAGCUUCGUUACAGACAGGGUCGAUACUGCCUACAACUAGCAUCCAUAGUUUACGGCGUGGACUAC
rnacentral:misc_RNA from 1 species